CCUACGGGUGGCAGCAGUAGGGAAUAUUGCUCAAUGGGGGAAACCCUGAAGCAGCAACGCCGCGUGGAGGAUGAAGGUUUUAGGAUUGUAAACCCCUUUUGUUAGAGAAGAUUAUGACGGUAUCUAACGAAUAAGCACCGGCUAACUCCGUGCCAGCAGCCGCGGUAAUACGGAGGGUGCAAGCGUUACUCGGAAUCACUGGGCGUAAAGAGUGCGUAGGCGGGAUAAUAAGUCAGAUGUGAAAUCCUGUAGCUUAACUACAGAACUGCAUUUGAAACUGUUACUCUGGAGUGUGGGAGAGGUAGGUGGAAUGCUUGGUGUAGGGGUAAAAUGCGUAGAGAUCAAGAGGAAUACUCAUUGCGAAGGCGACCUGCUGGAACAUUACUGACGCUGAUGCACGAAAGCGUGGGGAGCAAACAGGAUUAGAUACCCUUGUAGUC
rnacentral:rRNA from 1 species